AAAAUGCCCCUCCUUUCCUCCACAGGACCAGAUGCCUGAGCUAGGAAAGGCCUCAUUCCUGCUGUGAUCCUGCCAUGGAUACCUGGCUCGUAUGCUGGGCAAUUUUUAGUCUCUUGAAAGCAGGACUCACAGAACCUGAAGUCACCCAGACUCCCAGCCAUCAGGUCACACAGAUGGGACAGGAAGUGAUCUUGCGCUGUGUCCCCAUCUCUAAUCACUUAUACUUCUAUUGGUACAGACAAAUCUUGGGGCAGAAAGUCGAGUUUCUGGUUUCCUUUUAUAAUAAUGAAAUCUCAGAGAAGUCUGAAAUAUUCGAUGAUCAAUUCUCAGUUGAAAGGCCUGAUGGAUCAAAUUUCACUCUGAAGAUCCGGUCCACAAAGCUGGAGGACUCAGCCAUGUACUUCUGUGCCAGCAGUGAAGC
rnacentral:lncRNA from 1 species